GACGAACGCUGGCGGCGCGCUUAACACAUGCAAGUCGAACGCUGAAGCUCAGCUUUUGUUGGGUGGAUGAGUGGCGAACGGGUGAGUAACACGUGAGUAACCUGCCCCCUUCUUUGGGAUAACGCCCGGAAACGGGUGCUAAUACUGGAUAUUCACUGGUCUUCGCAUGGGGGUUGGUGGAAAGGGUUUUUCUGGUGGGGGAUGGGCUCGCGGCCUAUCAGCUUGUUGGUGGGGUGAUGGCCUACCAAGGCUUUGACGGGUAGCCGGCCUGAGAGGGUGACCGGUCACAUUGGGACUGAGAUACGGCCCAGACUCCUACGGGGGGCAGCAGUGGGGAAUAUUGCACAAUGGGCGCAAGCCUGAUGCAGCGACGCCGCGUGAGGGAUGGAGGCCUUCGGGUUGUGAACCUCUUUCGCCCAUGGUCAAGCCGCAACAAUGGUUGUGGUGAGGGUAGUGGGUAAAGAAGCGCCGGCUAACUACGUG
rnacentral:rRNA from 1 species